rnacentral:rRNA from 1 species
AAUCAACGCUGGCGGCGUGCCUCAGACAUGCAAGUCGAACGAUUAAAGCUCUCUUCGGAGAGUGUAUAGAGUGGCGCACGGGUGAGUAACACGUAAAGUAAUCUACCCUCGAGUGGGGAAUAACGUUCGGAAACGAACGCUAAUACCGCAUAAUGCAGCGGCAUCGCAAGAUGACAGUUGUUAAAGGAGUAAUUCGCUUG